AGAGUUUGAUCCUGGCUCAGAGCGAACGCUGGCGGCAGGCCUAACACAUGCAAGUCGAGCGGGCCCUUCGGGGCAGCGGCGGACGGGUGAGUAACGCGUGGGAACGUGCCCUUUGGUACGGAACAACUGAGGGAAACUUCAGCUAAUACCGUAUGUGCCCUAUGGGGGAAAGAUUUAUCGCCAUUGGAGCGGCCCGCGUUGGAUUAGCUAGUUGGUGGGGUAAUGGCCCACCAAGGCGACGAUCCAUAGCUGGUCUGAGAGGAUGAUCAGCCACACUGGGACUGAGACACGGCCCAGACUCCUACGGGAGGCAGCAGUGGGGAAUCUUGCGCAAUGGGCGAAAGCCUGACGCAGCCAUGCCGCGUGAAUGAUGAAGGUCUUAGGAUUGUAAAAUUCUUUCACCGGGGACGAUAAUGACGGUACCCGGAGAAGAAGCCCCGGCUAACUUCGUGCCAGCAGCCGCGGUAAUACGAAGGGGGCUAGCGUUGCUCGGAAUUACUGGGCGUAAAGGGCGCGUAGGCAGACAGUUUAGUCAGAGGUGAAAGCCCAGGGCUCAACCUUGGGAUUGCCUUUGAUACUGGCUGUCUUGAGUACGGGAGAGGUGUGUGGAACUCCGAGUGUAGAGGUGAAAUUCGUAGAUAUUCGGAAGAACACCAGUGGCGAAGGCGACCACUGGCCCGUUACUGCGCUGAGGCGCGAAAGCGUGGGGAGCAAACAGGAUUAGAUACCCUAGUAGUCC
rnacentral:rRNA from 1 species